GGGCCUGUAGCGCAAUGGCAGCGCAGCAAGAUGGCAUCUUGAAGGUUGGGGGUUCAAAUCCCCCCAGGUCCACCA
rnacentral:tRNA from 1 species